GCCCCAUUGGGGUUCCCAUGCCCCAUCGAUGUCCCAGUGUCCCAUCGGGGUUCUCCAUGUCCCUCUGUGUCCCCAUGGUGUCCCCACUCCCCUCAGCAAUGAGGUCUGCCCUGAACCUCCUCUCCUCCACACUCAAGGUCCUCCAUGCCCCACUGAUGCCCCACUGAUGCCCCACUGAUGCCCCACUGAUGCCCCACUGAUGCUCCCCGGCUGCCCAUGGAGGUGGUGGAGUCUCCUGCUCUGGAG